AAUUUCACAAGGUUGUAAACUAUCAUAAUCUCACUGAAAAGUUUAAAAAAAACGCCUGCUGACCCCUGUUCAAAGGCUGAACACACCAAUCUAAUGUUUAUAAAGCCACUCUAGCGCUAUGCACAGGACAGCCUUUCUUCUCCAAGGCUUCCAGAGUCUUGCAGGAAUCAUAAGAAGCCUGAGCAUGAAUCGAAUGGAUCGAGUGUUAGAGGGUGAUCUAGUAAAUUCGAGGAGGAGGUAUGACCAUGUGGUUAUGAGAGGAAGAAGUCCUCAAGCCACGUAAUUGCAGAUUUUGUUUUUCAGUCUCAUAUCCUGGUUCUGCCUCCUUGUCAUUCCACUGCAAACCAAUCCACCCCAGCCUCUUUAAGUGCCAGCUAGAUUCAGUCCCUAUUGAGGUGUUGACCUGGGUUAGACCAUGUCUCCAGAGAACUUAUUCCCUGGAAGUCACCACAGGAAUCCCCUAUGAUCCAUGCAUAAUAUAAAUAAUAAUCAGAACACUAAAUUAAUUGCUAAUUCUUGUUAAAAAAUAUACUGAAUGUAAUUCUACUUGCCACAUUAUAGUUCAGAAGCUAGAAUUCAGAAGUAUAGUCGUUGUUUACCUUUUAAAGAUAAUACAACUUCAAACCAGUACUGCAGGGAGAAAGGUGGAAUAAACAGAAAACUGUCAAAGUAGAUGCCGCUAUCAUAAAAGUUGUUGAAGAGGUGAAAUGUCAGAAAUGAACAUAAUUGAUGACUUAGAAGUAAUGACUAAGUGCAUUCUGUAAGUAACUACUUCCUCCUUGUAUCACAAACAUAAGCAAAACAUUUAUCCUAGAGUCUUUGAACCAGGGCUAGUUCAAAGGGAUUGCCAUUCUGUUUUCUCUUCCCUCUUUGGAGAGAAGCAGAUAAGAAACAGAAAAACAGGCUGUUGGGUUGUAAUCCCUGCAGAGAUGGUAGUUUUCAAACUCUCUCACUCCAGCAGGGAGAGAGGACAUUCACACCAUUCUGUUGUUUUCUGCUCCAUAGUAGAAAUCUAGAGGUGAACCUGCUACAAAAUAUUCAACUUUGAAGAGUCAUUAUUUUUUCCUUGGUUAAAAAAACCAGAUUAUUUGAACCUUUAAACUCGUUAUUUGCCACUAUUUUUCACACAAACAUGCAUAGUGAUUGCACUAAAAUCUAAACCAAAGAAACCAUUAAAAUCUAAUCAUUUCUUUGGAGGAAUUAAUGCUAUUUUCCUCUAAGCAACCAAGGUAGAAAGCAUAGAUGUCUUAAACACAGUUCUUGCGAAAAUCAUUUCCUCUUCAUGCUUCAGAAAUUGUUUAUGAUCAAAAUGGCUCCCUGCCUUCUUAUAUUAAAGCCCUGUCUUGGGCAGGGGGCAAAGAUGAUGUCAUAAUUGGUAAGAAGCUCAGUGGGAGAUAAGGGGCCCCUCCCCUCUCUUCUCUUCUCUGGAGUCCAACUUCGACUGUGACUUUGGCUCUGAAAAUUGAACAAGGAAGAAAGAAAGCUGGUUUCCCGCCAGGAUGUCAUAUGUGAACAUUGCCCUCAAGAGAAGAGCCACCCCAAGUAGGGCAUAUGCUUUGAAGUGUUUUUCAGGUAGAGGUCAUAGACUUCCACUGAGCCAAUAGUCUAAAGCUGUAGAGCCAACACAGGGCUAGGCCUCUUUUGCCCUCUCUGUCAAGUGAGGAACUUGGAACAUGUGGCUUCUAGUCUUUUCCAGUCUGCUUUAUUACACUGAGACUUCUGGAGAAGAAAAUUGAUUGGACUUAUUCACCUGGGAACCUUUAAAGAAACAAAGUGGAUUCUUUUAGUUUUCUAUCUCAACCUAUUUUGUAAGCCUAGAGCUAAGGAGAACUGAAUGAGCCUGUUCUAAUCAGUUAGUUUAUUCUGCUUUUUAUGCCAAGAGUUUAGAGAAUUGGCAGAGAAUUGAAUGGGGGAGGAAAGGUUAAAGGGAAAAUAGUACAAAAAAGAACAGAUCAAAUUUAAUAUAAACAAAAAUGAAAGAAAAUGUUUUAAAGGAAAUAAUUUAAUCUCACCUCACCUCAGGUAGCCAGACAUUUAUUGAGGACCUACUACGUGUUUAGCCUUAAACUAGAUGCUGGAAAUCUAAAGAUGAUGAGUAAAUCAACAUCAUCCCUGGUGUCAAGGCCUCCCACUCUAGUAAGAGGAAAAAAUACACACACACACACACACACACACAGUUAUAAAAAGAGUAAGCGGUUUCAAGAUGGAGAUGUGGAUAUGGAAUGAUGAGCACAAGAAGAGGCUUGUAUGCCUGCUGGCCAGGAUAAGGUGAGUCUUCUAAAGGAAGUACAAGGUGAAAUGAGUCUCACAAAUAAUACACAGAAUUAGGUGAAAAGAUGUUUGCUUUGAGUGGGUGGGGGAAGAGAAAUGUGACAGAAAACAGAGAAAAAUUGUGUGGACCCGAAGGAUUUUGGAAUUACUUGAGAGUGCUGUACAAGACAAGGAAUCUCAGGACAUGAGGCUGGGGGAUAAACACAACCCAUCAAAGAAAACCACAAGUACCAUGCUAAGUGAAGCAGCUCGGAUGUAGACCACAGAAAACCACUGGGUGUUUUUAAGCAGAGGAUGAUAUGGUCAGAUUUAUGUUUGGGCAAAUGACUCUAGAAUGAUUAUGGAGCAUGGGUUUUAAUAGGAAAAGACAGGAGACCAGUGAGGAUAUCGGGGUUUACCUUUUACACCAUUAAUGGUAAACAAUUUGGAAUGCCUUUGCCAAAUUGUUUGAGGUGACCUCUGUUGGUUGCAGUAGUCAGUGAAUUAAAAACAAGGGAAUGAAGAAGACAGGAAUUAUGUAUAUAUCCAACCAGUAAUAUCUGUGGCUCUGAAGAUGAAAUAUGACUUCAUUUAGCAUACUGGGACAUGCUUUAAUAUUUAGGCGAUUGAAUUAUCACAUCUGAUAAUUUAUAAUUCAGUAUGCACAUAGAUCUUUUGAGGGGUGCCAUUUUAGCUGCUCCCCUUGGAGUCAGAGGAUUUCUAAAGAAUUGGCUCCACUUCACAUGUUCAAAGAUCCCGAACAAUAUGGUGUGUCAAGAAGAGCAGAUGAGAUCCAAUGAACUGCCAGUGUGCAGGCUUGCUUCUUGUGCACCUGUUGUUCUGGAGCCAAGUCACUGCAUUGCUCUGAAUCUCUGUUUGUUUUUGUAAAAAGUAUAGAAGGGUACUUCCUGUCCUCCUGACUUCACGGGGCUAUUGUCAUAGGGAAAUGAGAAAGUUUAAGAGAAAACCACUGACCUUUAAAAUCUGUGUUUUAUUAUCAUUUAAUCUGUGUGUGUAUUAUAUUAAUAUCAAUGUGCUUCUUUGCUAUUUCCCCUCCUUGGGGCAACCUUAACCAUUCUUUCCCUCAUCAAAAGCUAAGGGUAAAAAUAUGAUACACAUUAUUAACAUAUGGAAUAGAAACAGUGAGUUUCUUUUGAUAAGAAUUACAAACCUUGUCUGGGCCCCACCAGCCAUGAAACUAAAAUAAGAAUUUUUAGUUGUGGAGAGGUGUGUCUAAUGGUUUGGGUCUAAUUUUACUUGUGGAGCAGUGGGUCUAAUGGUUUGGGGCAGGGCCUGGUGCAUGAAAUCAAGACACUUUAUGUUCUUCAAAUCUUCAAGAUUCUUGCUCACUUUUUUCUGGGAACAAUUUUUACGUUACUUUUUAGCUUGGGAUCUUGCAGCAGGUGGGCAGUGGUAACUGCGUGCUCCACACACUGCACGGUGCAGAUUUGGGGGCCCUAAAGUGGAGAGCCAGGCUUCCUUGUCUCUGCCGGGCUGGUAGGCAGAGCUUCUCCACCCAGAAGGGACAGCCUUUUGGCAUCCCAGUGCUAGCAGCCAUCUCAGUUCCUCUCUCUGCUGGGCUAAUAUCAGAGCCGAUUCUACUCAGGUGCCAUGGCUUCAGUUCGCAAGGUCAUUAGGCUGUGUUGUCUCAGUCCUCCGUGUUGCCCAAGGUUGGCCAUCUUUCAUGCGGUCUUAUGGCUUUCUCUGCCCCAUGACUCCAGGCGCCUGUGUAGCUGUGAUUGGCUUCUCUGCAGAGCUGCACUGCACCAGAUCACGUAGCUGGAGAGGUGUAGUGGGAAUUCUCUCUUCCUCCAGACAUCCGUGGAGGGCUGGCUUCAGGUUUAUUUUAGUCCCACUGCCCACCUGUGGGUCAGAGAAAUUGAUUAAUUAGGUUAGCUCCUAUGUGAGAUAUUGUUUUGCAGGUUAAAGUCGUUCUGAUUCUAUUCUGGUCAUAUGGAAGGGUUUGCAAAAUUUUUGUGAGAUUAUGAUGUGGUGCAGCAAGCUUUUUUGCUAUUUAGACCUUUAAAAAAAGUUUUAUUAAAUUUUAACCUCAAAAGUGAUUUUUAAUAUUGUUGUUUGGAAUGGACCAGAAAAUAAUAAAAAUAGAUGUUUAAGUGGAGGAAAACAUUUAUCUAGCAGUGCCUCAGCCCCGUCACACCCCAUUCCCUGCCCUUCCUCCACACACCCACUGAGGCUUGCUGCUGGAAAUAGCCUUACUGAAUAGAUUUAUAAGAGAUCGGCAAGAGUUAAUAUAGUGUGAACUCUGUGAGCUUUUCUAGGUAGAGAAUAAAUUGCUAAACUGGUAAGGAUAAGCUUCAGGCAGUCCGAGAUAGGUUUGACUUUUUAUUUUUCCUUUUUUCUAGCUUUAUUGAGAUUUAAGUGACCUAUAACAUUGUGUAAGUUUAAG